AUUCCAGCUCCAAUAGCGUAUAUUUAAGUUGUUGCAGUUAAAAAGCUCGUAGUUGGAUUUCGGGUGGGCUGCGCCGGUCUCCUAACGGUUGUACUGGCGACGCCUGCCUUGCUGCCGGGGACGGGCUCCUGCCUUUACUGUCGGGACCCGGAAUCGGCGACGUUACUUUGAGUAAAUUAGAGUGUUCAAAGCAAGCCUACGCUCUGAAUAUAAUAGCAUGGGAUAACACGACAGGACUCUGGCCUAUCGUGUUGGUCUGUAGGACCAGAGUAAUGAUUAAGGGGGACAGUCGGGGGCAUUCGUAUUCCGUUGUCAGAGGUGAAAUUCUUGGAUUUACGGAAGACGAACAUCUGUGAAAGCAUUUGCCAAGGAUGUUUUCAUUA
rnacentral:rRNA from 1 species